rnacentral:rRNA from 1 species
UACGUAGGGUGCAAGCGUUAAUCGGAAUUACUGGGCGUAAAGCGUGCGCAGGCGGCUUUGCAAGACAGAUGUGAAAUCCCCGGGCUUAACCUGGGAACUGCAUUUGUGACUGUAAGGCUAGAGUACGGCAGAGGGGGAUGGAAUUCCGCGUGUAGCAGUGAAAUGCGUAGAUAUGCGGAGGAACACCGAUGGCGAAGGCAAUCCCCUGGGCCUGUACUGACGCUCAUGCACGAAAGCGUGGGGAGCAAACAGG